rnacentral:rRNA from 1 species
GAUGAACGCUAGCGGCAGGCUUAACACAUGCAAGUCGAGGGGUAUGCCGAUUUAUCGGCAGAGACCGGCGCACGGGUGCGUAACGCGUAUGCAAUCUACCUUUCACAGAGGGAUAGCCCAGAGAAAUUUGGAUUAAUACCUCAUAGUAUAGCAAUUUCGCAUGAAACCACUAUUAAAGUUCCAACGGUGAAAGAUGAGCAUGCGUCCCAUUAGCUAGAUGGUAAGGUAACGGCUUACCAUGGCUACGAUGGGUAGGGGUCCUGAGAGGGAGAUCCCCCACACUGGUACUGAGACACGGACCAGACUCCUACGGGAGGCAGCAGUGAGGAAUAUUGGACAAUGGGCGCAGGCCUGAUCCAGCCAUGCCGCGUGCAGGAAGAAGGGUCCUAUGGAUUGUAAACUGCUUUUAUACAAGAAGAAACAUCCCUCGUGAGGGAACUUGACGGUACUGUAUGAAUAAGGACCGGCU